rnacentral:rRNA from 1 species
ACCGGCGCACGGGUGAGUAACACGUAUCCAACCUGCCCUUUACUCGGGGAUAGCCUUUCGAAAGAAAGAUUAAUACCCGAUGUAAAGGAUGGGGAUGCGUUCCAUUAGGUUGUUGGUGAGGUAACGGCCCACCAAGCCUUCGAUGGAUAGGGGUUCUGAGAGGAAGGUCCCCCACAUUGGAACUGAGACACGGUCCAAACUCCUACGGGAGGCAGCAGUGAGGAAUAUUGGUCAAUGGGCGCUAGCCUGAACCAGCCAAGUAGCGUGAAGGAUGAAGGCUUAUGGGUCGUAAACUUCUUUUAUAUAAGAAUAUGUAUUAUAUGAAUAAGGAUCGGCUAACUCCGUGCCAGCAGCCGCGGUAAUACGGAGGAUCCGAGCGUUAUCCGGAUUUAUUGGGUUUAAAGGGAGCGUAGGUGGACUGGUAAGUCAGUUGUGAAAGUUUGCGGCUCAACCGUAAAAUUGCAGUUGAUACUGUCAGUCUUGAGUACAGUAGAGGUGGGCGGAAUUCGUGGUGUAGCGGUGAAAUGCUUA